CCCACCCAGGGAAGGGGGAAUAAGACUGAUGGUAUUUAAAAGUACAAACUUGUAAUGAGUAGUAAAUAAGCCAUAGAGAUCUAAUGCACAAUAUAAUGAAUAUAGACAACAAUAUUGUACUGUAAUUGUGUAAUGUGAUCAACAUCUCUACGAUGGCAAUCAUAUCACAAUAUUUGGAUGUAUCAAAGAAACAUGCUGUAUACCU